AUGGUCAGAGAGGAUUUGAACAAUGGUAUUAAUGAUUUCAUGGAUAUCUCAGGCAUGGGGCAUCGUGGCGUCAAUAAUCCCCCAAACGAGUUUGCCUCAAAGCAUGCUAUCAAUCUCAGUCUUUUUGGCGGUUCGGCAAAUUUCAACAAGUGGAUGGAUGUGAAUGUGAGCCCAUCUUGCUCUCCUCGGACCAGGAGUAAAGUCAAAAAUCUCAUUGGUGAGUUUGCGUCUGGCAUGACCAACAUUCUUGGGAAACUAGUUCAGGGUUGGACAAGCUUGUCUCAGGGUGAAAGUGAUGAGGUUGGCCGGCAUUUCCGUAAUGUUGCUGCAGUUGGUGCGCCAAUAUCGAUCGGUGUCAGUGGUCGAUUUGAGUACGAUAGCUCACGGGAGACUGGCGACACCCAGGAGAAUCUGUUUGAUGGCGACUUUGACUCGGGGCACAAUGAGGAUCAUGAUGAGGCUGCUGAGGCCGGUGCUGACAUAGAUAUAGAUGUGGACAAGCCAAGUGAGGAAGAUGGCUGUGGGCAGGACGGAACUGAAGUAGGCUCCCAUGGGCAAGACACUGGAAUUGACAAGGUAGGAUAG
rnacentral:rRNA from 1 species